rnacentral:rRNA from 1 species
UCGGAUUGUAGGCUGCAACCCGCCUACAUGAAGUUGGAAUUGCUAGUAAUCGCAGAUCAGAAUGCUGCGGUGAAUACGUUCCCGGGCCUUGUACACACCGCCCGUCACACCAUGGGAGCCGGUAAUACCCGAAGUCAGUAGUCUAACCGCAAGGGGGACGCUGCCGAAGGUAGGAUUGGCGACUGGGGUGAAGUCGUAACAAGGUAGC